GAAAUGCGAUAAGUAGUGUGAAUUGCAGAAUUCAGUGAAUCAUCGAAUCUUUGAACGCACAUUGCGCCCUUUGGUAUUCCGUAGGGCAUGCCUGUUCGAGCGUCAUCUAAACCUUCAAGCCCUGCUUGGUGUUGGGUGCCUGUCCCGCCUCCGCGCGCGGACUCACCUCAAAUCCAUUGGCGGCCCCCGCGUCGGCCACGAGCGCAGCAGAAACGCGAACUCGUGAGCCCGUCCGGGCGGCUCCCAGAAGCUACACCCACCCAGUUUGACCUCGGAUCAGGUAGGGAUACCCGCUGAACUUAAGC
rnacentral:misc_RNA from 1 species